rnacentral:rRNA from 1 species
GUAAAUGUGGAGCCGUAGCGAAAGCGAGUCUGAAUAGGGCGUUUAGUAUUUGGUCGUAGACCCGAAACCAGGUGAUCUACCCUUGGUCAGGUUGAAGUUCAGGUAACACUGAAUGGAGGACCGAACCGACUUACGUUGAAAAGUGAGCGGAUGAACUGAGGGUAGCGGAGAAAUUCCAAUCGAACCUGGAGAUAGCUGGUUCUCUCCGAAAUAGCUUUAGGGCUAGCCUCAAGUGAUGAUUAUUGGAGGUAGAGCACUGUUUGGACGAGGGGCCCCUCUCGGGUUACCGAAUUCAGACAAACUCCGAAUGCCAAUUAAUUUAACUUGGGAGUCAGAACAUGGGUGAUAAGGUCCGUGUUCGAAAGGGAAACAGCCCAGACCACCAGCUAAGGUCCCAAAAUAUAUGUUAAGUGGAAAAGGAUGUGGCGUUGCCCAGACAACUAGGAUGUUGGCUUAGAAGCAGCCAUCAUUUAAAGAGUGCGUAAUAGCUCACUAGUCGAGUGACACUGCGCCGAAAAUGUACCGGGGCUAAACAUAUUACCGAAGCUGUGGAUUGUCCUUUGGACAAUGGUAGGAGAGCGUUCUAAGGGCGUUGAAGCAUGAUCGUAAGGACAUGUGGAGCGCUUAGAAGUGAGAAUGCCGGUGUGAGUAGCGAAAGACGGGUGAGAAUCCCGUCCACCGAUUGACUAAGGUUUCCAGAGGAAGGCUCGUCCGCUCUGGGUUAGUCGGGUCCUAAGCUGAGGCCGACAGGCGUAGGCGAUGGAUAACAGGUUGAUAUUCCUGUACCACCUAUAAUCGUUUUAAUCGAUGGGGGGACGCAGUAGGAUAGGCGAAGCGUGCGAUUGGAUUGCACGUCUAAGCAGUAAGGCUGAGUAUUAGGCAAAUCCGGUACUCGUUAAGGCU